rnacentral:misc_RNA from 1 species
CUUCUCGAUUAAAGGGGUAAAAAAGGAAGAAUAUAUUUGGCCUAUACUUGGUAAGAUUAUAAACAAAUUGUGCCUCAACAUGAAAUAAACUUUUCUUUAAAAAUAUUAUUACAAGAAUAAUGACUGAAGCCCUUCUAUUUAGGGAAUGUUAUAAUCAAUAUAGUCCAUCUUUUGCCCUUCCUUUUUUACCCCUUUAAUCGAGAAG